rnacentral:rRNA from 1 species
GACGAACGCUGGCGGCGUGCUUAACACAUGCAAGUCGAACGGAAAGGCCCUGCUUUUGUGGGGUGCUCGAGUGGCGAACGGGUGAGUAACACGUGAGUAACCUGCCCUUGACUUUGGGAUAACUUCAGGAAACUGGGGCUGAUACCGGAUAGGAGCUCCUGCUGCAUGGUGGGGGUUGGAAAGUUUCGGCGGUUGGGGAUGGACUCGCGGCUUAUCAGCUUGUUGGUGGGGUAGUGGCUUACCAAGGCUUUGACGGGUAGCCGGCCUGAGAGGGUGACCGGCCACAUUGGGACUGAGCUACGGCCCAGCCCCCUACGGGAGGCAGCAGUGGGGAAUAUUGCACAAUGGGCGGAAGCCUGAUGCAGCAACGCCGCGUGCGGGAUGACGGCCUUCGGGUUGUAAACCGCUUUCGCCUGUGACGAAGCGUGAGUGACGGUAAUGGGUAAAGAAGCACCGGCUAACUACGUG